GAUGAACGCUAGCUACAGGCUUAACACAUGCAAGUCGAGGGGAAACGAUAGAGAAAGCUUGCUUUUUCUAGGCGUCGACCGGCGCACGGGUGAGUAACGCGUAUCCAACCUGCCCAUCACUUGGGGAUAACCUUGCGAAAGUAAGACUAAUACCCAAUGACGUCUCUAGAAGACAUCUGAAAGAGAUUAAAGAUUUAUCGGUGAUGGAUGGGGAUGCGUCUGAUUAGCUUGUUGGCGGGGUAACGGCCCACCAAGGCGACGAUCAGUAGGGGUUCUGAGAGGAAGGUCCCCCACAUUGGAACUGAGACACGGUCCAAACUCCUACGGGAGGCAGCAGUGAGGAAUAUUGGUCAAUGGACGAGAGUCUGAACCAGCCAAGUAGCGUGCAGGAUGACGGCCCUAUGGGUUGUAAACUGCUUUUAUAAGGGAAUAAAGUGGGAGUCGUGACUCUUUUUGCAUGUACCUUAUGAAUAAGGACCGGCUAAUUCCGUGCCAGCAGCCGC
rnacentral:rRNA from 1 species